rnacentral:rRNA from 1 species
UACGGAGGGGGCUAGCGUUGUUCGGAAUUACUGGGCGUAAAGCGCACGUAGGCGGCUUUGUAAGUUAGAGGUGAAAGCCCAGGGCUCAACCCUGGAAUUGCCUUUAAGACUGCAUCGCUUGAACAUCGGAGAGGUAAGUGGAAUUCCGAGUGUAGAGGUGAAAUUCGUAGAUAUUCGGAAGAACACCAGUGGCGAAGGCGGCUCACUGGACCGGUAUUGACGCUGAGGCGCGGAAAAGCCCAG